rnacentral:rRNA from 1 species
UACGUAGGGUGCAAGCGUUGUCCGGAAUUAUUGGGCGUAAAGAGCUCGUAGGCGGUCUGUCGCGUCGGCUGUGAAAACUCGGGGCUCAACUCCGAGCUUGCAUUCGAUACGGGCAGGCUAGAGUUCGGUAGGGGAGACUGGAAUUCCUGGUGUAGCGGUGAAAUGCGCAGAUAUCAGGAGGAACACCGGUGGCGAAGGCGGGUCUCUGGGCCGAUACUGACGCUGAGGAGCGAAAGCGUGGGGAGCGAACAGG